GAACGAGAAAGCGGUAGCAAUAUCGUGAGUACAGUGGCGAACGGGUGAGUAACACGUAACCAAUCUGCCUUGAAAUGGAGGAAAACUGAGGGAAACUUUAGCUAACCCCCCAUAAUGUGAUUCUGACGCAUGUCGGGAUCAUUAAAAAUUUAUUGUUUCAAGAAGAGGUUGCGUCUGAUUAGCUAGUUGGCGGGGUAAAAGCCCACCAAGGCUACGAUCAGUAGCUGGUCUGAGAGGAUGAUCAGCCACACUGGGACUGAGAUACGGCCCAGACUCCUACGGGAGGCAGCAGUGAGGAAUAUUGCGCAAUGGGCGAAAGCCUGACGCAGCAACGCCGCGUGUAGGAUGAAAUCCUUCGGGAUGUAAACUACUGUUAGAGGGGAAGAAAUCCCGGUUACGCCGGGAGUGACGGUACCCUCAGAGAAAGCCACGGCUAACUCUGUGCCAGCAGCCGCGGUAAUACAGGGGUGGCAAGCGUUGUCCGGAAUUACUGGGCGUAAAGCGUGCGCAGGCGGUUACAUAAGACAGAUGUGAAAUCCCCGGGCUUAACCUGGGAACUGCGUUUGUGACUGUGUGACUAGAGUACGGUAGAGGGGGGUGGAAUUCCUGGUGUAGCAGUGAAAUGCGUAGAUAUCAGGAGGAACAUCGAUGGCGAAGGCAGCCCCCUGGACCUGUACUGACGCUCAUGCACGAAAGCGUGGGGAGCAAACAGGAUUAGAUACCCUGGUAGUCCACGCCCUAAACGAUGUCGACUAGUUGUUCGGGAAGGUGACUUCUUGAGUAACGUAGCUAACGCGUGAAGUCGACCGCCUGGGGAGUACGGCCGCAAGGUUAAAACUCAAAGGAAUUGACGGGGACCCGCACAAGCGGUGGAUGAUGUGGAUUAAUUCGAUGCAACGCGAAAAACCUUACCUACCCUUGACAUGUCUGGAAGUCUGCAGAGAUGCGGAUGUGCCUUCGGGAACCAGAACACAGGUGCUGCAUGGCUGUCGUCAGCUCGUGUCGUGAGGUGUUGGGUUAAGUCCCGCAACGAGCGCAACCCUUAUCAUUAGUUGCUACGCAAGGGCACUCUAAUGAGACUGCCGGUGACAAACCGGAGGAAGGUGGGGAUGACGUCAAGUCCUCAUGGCCCUUAUGGGUAGGGCUUCACACGUCAUACAAUGGUCGGUACAGAGGGUUGCCAAGCCGCGAGGUGGAGCCAAUCCCAGAAAGCCGAUCGUAGUCCGG
rnacentral:rRNA from 1 species